rnacentral:misc_RNA from 1 species
AAUGCGGGCUCGUCUUCGCCUGUGUGUCGCGAGACAACUGUGAGACGCCGCGACAACCCCUCAGCCACCUCGACCCCUGGCUUUCUUCUGCAUGUCGCUCAUCGGCGGUGCCAGCCACGCGCGGCUCACCGCCGUGCGUCCUCUGCUAGUGAACGUCUGCCGCGCACCUUCAGGGGUGUCGGCCUGUGUCACCUCUUGCAUCUUCGCACCUCAUCAUUGGCAGCAUCGCGCGUUUCGGUCGGUACCCACGACCGCAUGUCUGCUGGAAACCAAAAAAAAGCGUGUGUCGAGGGCGACGAAGCAGAAACCUACCAAGGCUACUUCGGCAGCCCUGCCGUUCUAUAAGUCCCACUCGGUGCGGCCCGUCGCCGCCACCACCUCAAAAGCAGAAGGCGCGGCACCACCGGCAGCUGCGUCCUCCUCCACAACAGCUUCGACAGCCUCGUCGUUACCGGACGCCAACAUAGCCGCCCUAGCGCCAGUGCCAGCACCGUCUCCACCUGCUGCUGCUCACGACGCAGAACGGCCGCGCCGUUCCUACGCCCCGACGAGUGCGGCCAUCAGCGAACAGCUUGCCUCCCUACGGCGCGAGCUGCUUGAAACGCGACUGCAGCUGGCCAAGGCAGAGGAGACCUACUCGGGGCUCUACGAGGGCGUGCUCGCACGACUUGCCGAGACAGACCGAGCGGCCCACCUCACCGCGUCAAGUCUCCGCUACACAGGCAUGGCGCUGCGAGCCGCGCACGACAACCUAGAGGUGGAGCUACGGCGUCUUCUCACGAUAGGUCUGACGGCGGAGGAGGUGGACGCAGCAGCCAUCGAGGCGGGUGCGCGACAAUACGUGCGGCAGAACAUCGGCUACCACACCGAGCACGUUGCGGCGGAGCCGCCGGCCGUUCCGGAUAUGGCAAGGGUGAUGGAGAAGAACGAGCACAGAGCGGCGAUGAGUAAUUUCGGAAAGCUACCGCAGUGAGCACGGACAGCAGCGAUCCGGCGGCGGCCCGAGAGCUCACUGGGGUCUUCCUCUUUUCGUCGUCGUCCUCAUACCGGAAGUCCCGGCGGAGGUGGUGGCAAGCACUGCUGCGUCGCGGGGCGCUCGCAUUUCUUUCGCUUUCUCUGGUAUUUCGCCGUUGAGUGAGGGUAUGCAUGUGUGUGUGUGCGCGCAUGCAGGUGUGGUGGACAUGUACGCGGAAGUCCAGCACAGAAAGGGAAGCACGUUUAAAAAAAAAAAGAACGAUGCUUGCAACCGUGUGAAUAGCUUGAGGGAGGAGGAGAGCGCUGUGGGUGCAGGCUCCCUCCCCCCUCCCUCGCCUCUUCGCCCUUUCUCUUUCGGUUCGUUGCCCGUGUCUCUCUGGGUCGAUAAUGGCACGUGCACACACACACACGCACACACAAGCGCGCGGUGGCCUGAUUCGCGUCUUUGUGCCGAAGCAUGCGUGUAAACGCUCGAGCAAGCACAGGAAGAAACAAGAAGACGAGGGGAGGUCCAAGAGGUGGUGAACGGCGGUCACUCGGUGAGACACACCGAAGCCAUUCAGAGAGCUUAAAAAAAAACACACAGAAAGCAGCGGACGGCUUCCUCCGGCACGGUUUGGCUCACGCUCGAGUAUGCGCAGGCAGGCAUCACCUUCGGCCGUCCCUCUCCCCACGCCCCAUGAUGAGCGCCGUAUCAAAGGGCAAAAACAAGGCGAAACGCCAAGUGCAUCGAACAAGAGAGGGGCAUGAUUGCGGUUGAGGCG